rnacentral:rRNA from 1 species
AUUGAACGCUGGCGGCAGGCCUAACACAUGCAAGUCGAACGAGUGGCGGACGGGUGAGUAAUGUCUGGGAAACUGCCUGAUGGAGGGGGAUAACUACUGGAAACGGUAGCUAAUACCGCAUACCAUCAGAUGUGCCCAGAUGAGAUUAGCUUGUUGGUGGGGUAAAGGCUCACCAAGGCGACGAUCCCUAGCUGGUCUGAGAGGAUGACACGCCAACCUGGAACUGAGACACGGUCCAGACUCCUACGGGAGGAAGCAGUGGGGAAUAUUGCACAAUGGGCGCAAGUCUGAUGCAGCCAUGCCGUGUGUAUGAAGAAGGCCUUAGGGUUGUAAAGUACUUUCAGCGGGGAUGCGUUACCCGCAUAAGAAGCACCGGCUAACUCCGGGCCAGCCGCCGCGGUAAUUC